CCUACGGGUGGCAGCAGUGAGGAAUAUUGGUCAAUGGGCGCAGGCCUGAACCAGCCAAGUCGCGUGAGGGAAGACUGCCCUAUGGGUUGUAAACCUCUUUUAUAAGGGAAUAAUAAUGACUACGUGUAGUCAGAUGCGUGUACCUUAUGAAUAAGCAUCGGCUAUCUCGGUGCCAGCAGCCGCGGUAAUCCGGGGGAUGCGAGCGUUAUCCGGGUUUAUUGGGUUAAAGGGGUGCGUAGGGGGUAUUUUAAGUUAGUGGUAAAACGUCGGGGCUACACCCUGAUUGGCCAUUAAAACUGGAGUACUAGAGUACAGAAGAGGUAGGCGGAAUAAGUUGUGUAGCGGUGAAAUGCUUAGAUAUAACGUAGAACCCCGAUAGCGAAGGCAGCUUACCAGACUGUAACUGACGCUGAAGCACGAGAGCGUGGGUAGCGAACAGGAUUAGAUACCCCGGUAGUC
rnacentral:rRNA from 1 species